ACGGUGACGGAGUUAAUUAGUGCCUGCAAAGCGCCGCGUGUGAGCUCAUCCAAGAAGUCAUGCUCUGCACACAUAUUAUUUAUAGCCGAUCUGAGGCGUGCACGAUGUUUGACAUUUUCCUUCUUCUUAAGUAGGGGGACUUCAAAAAGUCGAGGGCACCCUCCCCCACCCCCCCACCGACCCGCAGGCAAAGUGCAGUAGGCAGGCUCCAGCGUGCGGGCGGCAGGUGAAAGCGCCAACCACUCGUGUCCCGGCGCAGGUGCCGGGGGCGGCGGCGGCCACUCCGCAGCGUCCGCUCGGGAGGAGAGUUCGCGGUUGAUCUCGGGAUGCCUUGCAGAUGCAAAAUGUGUCUCUGGCCAGCAGGAGGAAGGAAGAGGAAGUGAGAGCAGCGGCAGCCGGCGGCGCAGCAGCCGGCGGAUCCCCAGUGUAAGUGCGUGUGCGCGGGCGAGGAUGGGCACGGGAUAGAGGCAGAGCCACCCACACCGCCGCGGCCCUGAGCUGGGGGACAGAGCCUCUGGCCCCCUUUCAGUCGUCACGGGUCGCCAGAGCUCUGGUCGCGGAGAAUCCUCGCCGCCACCGCCGCUGUCCUGCGACCCCGGGCAGCCGCUCCUCUUGCAGACCCUUUUGUGCUUGAGCCGACUCAGAAUUUCAGCCUGAAGAAAGGAACAGAGAGGUGAUUCCUUGGGAGAGUGGAAAACCAGUACAACUUACUGAUAGCACAUAACCACUUCAGAUCUGAUCUUCGGAUUUCCUCUGGAGCUUCCUUCCCUCCUGUGUUACCAUUGUCUUCCUAACCCAGCUCAGCUGUGUUUGAAUUUCCCGUGUGUUUCUUUCUGUGUGAGUAGUGGACCAUUCUCUUCCUUUAAUGAGACAACUUCUGGAGACCCCCUGGCUGGAUGCAAGUCAAAGAGAAAGGAUGUUGACAUUGAUGAAAAAAAAAAAAAGAUUUGGGGAGCCUGGGUGGCUCAGUCGG